AGCCAUUGGCUUAACCACGCUUGUUUCCACCAGUUUUUUUCCUUACUCUAAUUCCCUUUGUGAAUGUUGGCCCAGAUGAGGGUAAACUGGAUAAUUUGUUCGUUAACUACUGUCAUUAAAUUCAACCAUCUUUGCACUAUUUUAUAACUGCUAAAGUUCUCCGUCCAUUUUCCGUUAAAUGUCUCCCUCCCUAGUUUUCAUUCCUUCUAUAAAUAUUUUGUGUCCUAAUAUUAUAAAAGAGUAAGAUGUUGUAAAUAUCACAAAGUACUUAUACUUAAUAAUUUAAUUGUUUACAUUAAUUAUAUUUGUCGUAUAUAGUCUAACAGCAUGUAUAUUUGUUUCUGGUAUAAAAUAAGAAAAUUAAACUGGUUCAAUCUUUUGCACCGAUCGAUACCAUUAAAAUUAGAGAACAAAUACUCUUGGUGGUCUACUUUCACGUGACAGUGGCUAACUUGUGGUAUACCUUUCACAGAAGCCACAGUGGAACCACAGGACAAAUAGAUUACAAAACAAUAUUUAUGAACUAAAUAAUUAUAUGCUUAUUCCGAUGCUAGAGCAUAGCUCUUUAAAGUUACGUUAUUAUUAAAACUAAUAGGUUAAGGGCCCAGCAAAGAAGAAUUCUGACAGGUAUCAACGGACAAUUUUCUAACAUUUCGGAAGCUGCCGAGUGUGCCGAAAAGCAAGGCGGCAAGAAGUUGAAAAUCCUUUGAACUGACAACACGCAUGGAGCUCGUCCACAAAUAAAUUGACAACUAGACUCAAUGAUGGCACCAAAAACGGCGAAUGGCUGUUGGAGGAAGAUGAAGACGUACUCCGUGUUCAGAUGUCGACAAUUCUGAUCACGUUGGAGUCCAGAUCGAAAAUGUAAUCAUAGAAGAUGAUGACGAUCAUGAUUCAGAGUUCAGACGGAUAUCGAAGCCUUGCACUCGAUGUUUCUGAUGAUGAGGAUAUACCAAUUUAGCCAUCAAGUAUUAUCAAGGUCUUGAUAAUACUAGAUGGCUAAAAAAACAACUCUCUCACCGUUUCAUGCGUCAAUAUAAUAUAUAGCACAUUGUACGUGUUCGAUGAGGUCCUCAACAAGAAGCAAAAUAAAAACUACACCAACGGAUUGUAUGUCCCUCUUUCUCGAUGAUGGAAUUAGUACUAUGAUUUUAUCUACAAAUAAGUGCAUACUGAUUGAGCGAAGUAAAUAUCACAGGAAUUAAUUUUUGGGAAAUGCAUUAGAAGAACAACCACGAGAAGUAGCAAGUACCAGUCGUGAUCGCUGUUUUUUGUGAGGAAGAAAAUGUAAUAAAACCACACGUAUAUCUUGUCAAACCUGCAGCAAAUUUACUUGCCAAGAUCAUUGCAAGUGUAUGUAAUAGUUGUUUCGAAAAUUACAGCUAAGACCCUUUUUCUUGAUUUCUUUUAUUAGAAAACCAAUGCAGUGAAAAGCAAUAGCAAGCGCUAAAGCACAAAAUCUGGAAACACAUGGUGGUGGUCGGAUAAGCAGUCGAGUUAGACAAGGAUCCAAAUACAGCUAGUGAAUCUCUGUCAAGAUGAGAUGCUGAAAAAUGUAGAGUUGCAAUUAAGGAGGAGUUAGAUGCUCUCAAUGUAAUAGUUGUUACGAAAAUUACAGCUAAGACCCUUUUUCUUGAUUUCUUUUAUUAGAAAACCAAUGCAGUGAAAAGCAAUAGCAAGCGCUAAAGCACAAAAUCUGGAAACACAUGGUGGUGGUCGGAUAAGCAGUCGAGUUAGACAAGGAUCCAAAUACAGCUAGUGAAUCUCUGUCAAGAUGAGAUGCUGAAAAAUGUAGAGUUGUAAUUAAGGAGGAGUUAGAUGCUCUCAAUGUAAUAGUUGUUACGAAAAUUACAGCUAAGACCCUUUUUCUUGAUUUCUUUUAUUAGAAGACCAAUGCAGUGAAAAGCAAUAGCAAGCGCUAAAGCACAAAAUCUGGAAACACAUGGUGGUGGUCGGAUAAGCAGUCGAGUAAGACAAGGAUCCAAAUACAGCUAGUGAAUCUCUGUCAAGAUGAGAUGCUGAAAAAUGUAGAGUUGCAAUUAAGGAGGAGUUAGAUGCUCUCAACUAUAAUACUGGGUCUCUAAAUCCAAUUUUGCUGUCAUCUGGAGGACAUAGCCAAAAUGGCUUCGAAGAAGCUGGACGUCAUAAAUAGAGCACGGCAAUACUUCAAGCCGGCUCACAUUGUAGCCCUCUACAAAGCGUAGAUUCCGGCCACAUAUUAUGGAGUAUUGCUGUUAUAUCUGGUCUGGCACACCCCAGUAUCAGCUGAACCAUUUGACCGCGUGCAACACAGAGCUGCUCGAGCUGACGGGCACUCAGUGCUCUGUGAUCGGCUCGAUCACCUGGCGUUUAUGACGGGGAGUGUACUAACGAGCUGUUUCACUUGAAUCCUGCCGGCGAAAUCCACAUUAGCACGACACGCCAAAAAUUAGGAUAUCAUCCCCACAAUCUGGAUGUGUGUCGUUCCUCCACAGUGCAGAUUUCAAGUAGCUUUCUCCCACUCACAACAAAGCUGUGGAAUGAGCUUCCUUGUGCGGUGUAAAAUAGUGUAUACACCUUUCUGAAAGGCCGGCAACAGCCCUGUAAAUGUAAGAUAGGACUAAACAUAAACCUCAGUGAAAUGGUUCACAUGAAGCAACCUGAAGGUUCGAAGCUAAAGACAAAAAGGACUAUGUAACUAUAUCAGAUAAAUAACAAGACAUAAUGUCACUUCAGUUAAGAGUUGCUGAUCCUCAGGGAUUCCUUUUUUACUUUGCGUUGUUUCCCUUUCAUGGUUGUAUUAUUAAAUUUAUUUUAAAUUU